GCCUAGGUGGCUCAGUCGGUUAAGCUUCUGACUUGAUUUUGGCUCAGGUCAUGAUCUCAAUGUGGGUUCGAGCCCUGCUUUAGGCU
rnacentral:tRNA from 1 species